rnacentral:lncRNA from 1 species
CGCUUUAUUCUCACUCUCCCUCUUCUUCUCUUUCUAUUUACACACAGGCACAUAGACAUAGACAUAGACAUAGACAUAGACAUAGACAUAGACAUAGACAUAGACAUAGACCCAGACCGAGACCAAGACCUAGACCUAGACACAGACACAGACACAGACCUAGACCUAGACCUAGACAUACACAUAGACACAGACAGAGACACAGACACAGACACAAACACAACCACAGACACAGCCACAGACACAGCCACAGACACAGACACAGACACAGACACAGACACAGACACAGCACAGCCACAGACACAGACACAGAGAGAUAUACACGUAGACAUAGACCUAGACACAGACACAGACACCGACAUGGGACACAGACAGGGGACAAAGACACAGACAUAGACAUAGGCCUAGACACCGACACAGACACCGACACAGACACAGCCACAGCCACAGCCAGACACAGACACAGACAUGGGACACAGACAGGGGACAAAGACACAGACAUAGACAUAGGCCUAGACACCGACACAGACACCGACACAGACACAGCCACAGCCACAGCCAGACACAGACACAGACAUGGGACACAGACAGGGGACAAAGACACAGACAUAGACAUAGGCCUAGACACCGACACAGACACAGCCACAGCCACAGCCAGACACAGACACAGACAUGGGACACAGACAGGGGACAAAGACACAGACAUAGACAUAGGCCUAGACACUGACACAGACACCGACACAGACACAGACACAGCCACAGCCAGACACAGACACAGACAUGGGACACAGACAGGGGACAAAGACACAGACAUAGACAUAGGCCUAGACACUGACACAGACACCGACACAGACACAGACACAGCCACAGCCAGACACAGACACAGAUAUAGACAUAGACACAGACACAGACAUAGACAUAGACACCGACACAGACACAGACACAAACACAGACACAGACAUAGGCACAGACACAGACACAGACAGAGAUAUACAUGUAGACAUAGACCUAGACAUAGACCCAGGCAGAGACACAGACACAGACACAGACCUAGACCUAGACACAGACACAGACACAGACCUAGACCUAGACUUAGACAUACACACAGACACAGACACAGACACACCCGCAGACACAGACACACAGACACAGACACAGACACAGACACAGACACAGACACACAGACACAGACAUAGACAUAGACAUAUUUUCUCCUGGAACACCUGAAAGUUGCAGACAUCAUCAAACUUCACCUCUGAAUACUUCAGAAUACAUGCAGGAAUACAUUUUUUUAACAGAUUGAGAAACUAGUAAGUAAACGAUAGCUCCAGAAAGGAAUUUUCCAGCAUGUAGAAGGAGUAACAAUUUUUUUUGAUAAUAUAUUUGAAUAUAUCUGGACUGAAUUCACCUAGAAGAUGAAACUCUUCUCUAUUUCUAUCAUUACCUUGUUCCCAGAAGUUUUUAGGCAACUGUCUCAUCUCUGAGUCAGGUGGCACAGUCAUUCAAAGAACAAAAACACGGUGGCAGGUGCUGAAUGUUAAUGAAGUCACAUAGCUAUCAGGCUUUACACCUAUCACUGAGUCACUUCUAGUGUGUAAAAUGAAUUCCUAGGAGCCCGAACAUGUUUUACGCAUGUCGUAUAAAUUCUUUGAAACCCAUGAGGAAAUAAAUAUUUACAUCAAAAUUAACCUGGAAAUUUUUUAUAAAUUCAAAGGUGAAACAAUAUAGAAUGUAUUUUUUAACUAAGCCCUAGGAAAUAACAGAAUUUUAAGAGGGAAGACUUUCUAGACUCAGAUACAGAGAAAUACAUGACCAGGUUUCAGUCAGCUUUUAUUGAAAAAUGUGCUGGCUCAAAACAAAAACCUAGAUGAGUUGUCCAGAAACUGCUUUUGUUCUAUAGGAAAGAAAAAAGCUAGACAAGGAAUGAGCUUCCAAGCAGCAGGCUGAGACUGUUCCUGGUCUGCAUAGCUGUGUCAGAAUGAUAGCUGGCGAUGUCCUGGACACUAGCCUCCCAUCCCUGGUGGGGUCUGGUGAGACAGAUCACUUCCUGGAGGCCACGUUGCAGGGAGACCCAUCUUUGGCAGAAUAGGGCAUUAGGCCACAUUGGGCUGAAUCUCAGAGGAGCAAAUCGGCAGAAACUGAUACAGAUGGUUCCACCAAGGCAUAGGCGCUCUCUUUAUACUGUCUGCCAGCAAACAUCCCUUCUCGCUAAAACCACCACUGAAGUGUCUCUUAGUCAGUGGUUCUUGGGACAGAAGUUGGUCAAGUUCAGUCAACCAACUCAACUCAUGUUUUCGCUCAUUCAAAUCCUGUAUCAACAUUCCAUUCCCUGUGAGUCUGGGUCAUUCCAAGCCCCCAGCAGGCUGGACCAUCAACAAACACUUGCUUCACCUGCCUCCUGCAUUAGACCCUGCCCUGACUGACACCCAGCAAGACCACUCCUCUAGCCUGGAACAGUUACCAUCCUCCUCCAAAAUGACUGAUGAGGAAGCUCUACCUGUGAGGCCCUAGGCAUCUGCAGGGCAAACCCACAGGCUUCAAAUUCUCCCAGCCUGGUAUUUGUGUAAGAGGAAUGCACUACCCUGAACAACUCCAGAGGACAAAACUCAUGAGUCUGGUAGAGCUCAGCAUCCCCAUUAUAAACACGGAGCAAUGGAAAUAGACUUGGGUACAUUAAGUCACUUGUCCAAGGUCACAGAGCUAAGGAAUGACAAAUAGGAUGUAAACCCAAGCCUACACAAUCCUUGGUUUUGGCACUCGUUCUCUGCUCUGUAAAAGCAUCAACACCUGGAGCUAGAGGGGCCUCCAGAAGCCAUUAAGUCUAUCUGCCCACCCAAACAGUCUUCUGAAACCCAGCAUCCUCUAUAGAAGACAAGCUUACCCCAUCACGAGAUGCACACUGCCAGUCUUGGGAAGUAUCCAUAAUUAGAAAUGUCUGCCAUUUUGGAUCCCAAAAUUUCCUCCCUCUUAACUUCAUUUAUUAGUCAUAUUCGACCCUGUGGGGAAGCUCCAAAGAAGUCUGUCUACACCUUCCAAUAACUUUGAGAGUUAGAAAGUGUAUACAGAAGAGCACAGUGUACCUGGACAGAGAAGUGGGAAUCCUGCCUUCCUUCCUGCCAGCAGCAGGGUGGUGGGCAGGUUACAUUACCUGUGUGAGGCUCAGUCUCCUCAUCUGUGAAAUGGGCAUACCCUGGUGUGCACUACAGGAGGAGUAGAUGUCACACCAUAUGUAAUGAGCUCAGCAGUGCUGCAAAAAGAAAGUGUUCAACAAGCAGUAGCUCUCAUCAGUGUUUUACAGAAGCAGAGCCCGG